CCGACAAGCGGUGGAUGAUGUGGUUUAAUUCGAUGCAACGACGAAAACCUUAACCCACCUUUGACAUGGCGAGGAAUCCUGAAGAGAUUUGGGAGUGCUCGAAAGAGAACCUGCACACAGGUGCUGCAUGGCUGUCGUCAGCUCGUGUCGUGAGAUGUUGGGUUAAGUCCGCUAACGAGCGCAACCCUCGUCGUAUGUUAUAUGUGUCAUACGAGACUGCCGGUAAAAGCCGGAGGAAGGUGAGGAUGAUGUCAAGUCAGCAUGACCUUUAUAUCCAGGGCUACACACACGCUACAAUGGUCUGUACAAUGGGUAGCCAAGCCGCGAGGCGGAGCCAAUCCUGAAAGCAGGCCUCAGUUCAGAUUGCAGUCUGCAACUCGACUGCAUGAAGCCGGAGUUGCUAGUAACCGCAGGUCAGCAAUACUGCGGUGAAUACGUUCCCGGGUCUU
rnacentral:rRNA from 1 species